UACGGAGGGGGCUAGCGUUGCUCGGAAUCAUUGGGCGUAAAGAGCGUGUAGGCGGCCCGAUAAGUCCGCCGUGAAAGUCCAGGGCUCAACCCUGGAAUGCCGGUGGAAACUGUCGGGCUGGAGUCCGGAAGAGGCGAGUGGAAUUCCUGGUGUAGCGGUGAAAUGCGCAGAUAUCAGGAGGAACACCAAUGGCGAAGGCAGCUCGCUGGGACGGUACUGACGCUGAGACGCGAAAGCGUGGGGAGCAAACAGG
rnacentral:rRNA from 1 species